UGCCCAGCAACUCCUAUCCCUACCUCCUCGCGGUACUGACCGGGGUACGAGUAACCUUAGGGAAGAUCCGGUAACCAACUUCGGUGGG
rnacentral:ribozyme from 1 species